ACGACGUUUCGAUCGCAACACAAGCGGUCUUCAUCACGUGUUGCGAUCGAAACGUCGCGGGUUUUUUGCUUUUAUUUUAAUUUAUUUUUAUUUCAUUGUUAUUUUCUAUCUACGUGACUUUACCUGAAAGAACCAAGAAUAUAGUUACGACUGUACUCUGGUCGCCACGGGUGAAGAGGCCGAGUGGGCUCGGUUCAACUGUUGCCAGGUGAUGGGGUCGUCCAUGUUGGGUGUCAUUGCGGCCAAAGACAAGCAGCAGUACGAAGACCAGGACGCCCUGGUCUACCAUGAGGACGAAAUUGGCCUCGCCCGGUCACAAAAUUCCAGGCUACAACCCUCCGGAGUCCACCCCAUGGGGCUCGCCUUCUCCCCGGCCUAAAAAACCCAGACAGUACUAGUGCAUCAUGCAUGCGGUGUCCACAAGAGGAACCGAAUGGAUUUUCUAAAGAGGAUACCAGAACGUGGAGCGAAACGUCGGAUGCCAAACAGCACGCUGCAGCACAACCCGAAAGAGCACAUCGGCGAGCCACGCAGCAGCAUCACAAUCGCUAAAUCCCACUUGGUCCUGGCUCAAAAACCUGCACUCCCAAGCCUCAGUUGUACAUGAUGACCCACAGUGAUCCCUGGGUGUUUUACCACGUCGACCUUCCCCACGGUUUAAGGUAUCCAUCAUCAAC